UUCCUGCCGGACCUGACUGCUAUCGGAUUGAUACUAAGCCAUGCGAGUCAUUGUAGCAAUACAAGGCAGACGGCUCAGUAACGCGUAGUCAACCUACCCUAUGGACGGGGAUAACUUCGGGAAACUGAGAAUAAUACCAGAUAGAACAUUAUUCCUGGAAUGGUUAAUGUUUCAAAUAAUUUAUUGCCGUAGGAUGGGACUGCGGCCUAUCAGUUUGUUGGUGAGGUAAUGGCCCACCAAGACUAUUACAGGUACGGGCUCUGAGAGGAGUAGCCCGGAGAUGGGUACUGAGACACGGACCCAGGCCCUAUGGGGCGCAGCAGGCGAGAAAACUUUGCAAUGUGCGAAAGCACGACAAGGUUAAUCCGAGUGGUUUCUGCUAAAGGAACCUUUUGUCAGUCCUAGAAACACUGUUGAAUAAGGGGUGGGCAAGUUCUGGUGUCAGCCGCCGCGGUAAAACCAGCACCUCAAGUGGUCAGGAUGAUUAUUGGGCCUAAAGCAUCCGUAGCCUGCUUUGUCAGUUUUCGGUUAAAUCCAUACGCUUAACGUAUGGGCUGCCGGAAAUACUGCAAAGCUAGGGAGUGGGAGAGGUAGACGGUACUCGGUAGGAAGGGGUAAAAUCCUUUGAUCUAUUGAUGACCACCUGUGGCGAAGGCGGUCUACCAGAACACGUCCGACGGUGAGGGAUGAAAGCUGGGGGAGCAAACCGGAUUAGAUACCCGGGUAGUCCCAGCUGUAAACUAUGCAAACUCGGUGAUGCAUUGGCUUGAUGCCAAUGCAGUGCCGCACGGAAAGCCGUUAAGUUUGCCGCCUGGGAAGUACGUACGCAAGUAUGAAACUUAAAGGAAUUGGCGGGGGAGCACCACAAGGGGUGAAGCCUGCGGUUCAAUUGGAGUCAACGCCGGG
rnacentral:rRNA from 1 species